rnacentral:rRNA from 1 species
CUGGCUCAGGAUGAACGCUAGCUACAGGCUUAACACAUGCAAGUCGAGGGGCAGCGGGAAGGAAGCUUGCUUCUUUGCCGGCGACCGGCGCACGGGUGAGUAACGCGUAUCCAACCUGCCCGCGGCUCAGGGAUAGCCUCGUGAAAACGAGAUUAAUACCUGAUGGUCUUGGAGGCUGACAUCGGUUUCCAAGUAAAGAUUUAUCGGCAGCGGAUGGGGAUGCGUUCCAUUAGGUUGUUGGCGGGUAACGGCCCACCAAGCCGACGAUGGAUAGGGGUUCUGAGAGGAAGGUCCCCCACAUUGGAACUGAGACACGGUCCAAACUCCUACGGGAGGCAGCAGUGAGGAAUAUUGGUCAAUGGGCGAGAGCCUGAACCAGCCAAGUAGCGUGAAGGGAUGACUGCCCUAUGGGUUGUAAACCUCUUUUAUACGGGAAUAAAAUGCGCCACGUGUGGUGUUUUGCAUGUACCGUAAGAAUAAGCAUCGGCUAAUUCCGUGCCAGCCGCUGC